CAGGCGGCACGCCGAGUGAGAACGCGCAGAAUCGCGAGCGAGCGUGUUCGAAAACGCGUGGCAGUUGCAAGCACUCGAGUGUAGAGCCUCAGCCGACAGACAUAAGGGACGGGAAGACCGCUGAGCAAAGGCAAGGAACCCGUGAUUGGCAAAAGAUUAGCGAGCAGUUCGUGACGAAGGAAACGAGCGAGAGCCAUAUCGCGGUGGCUUUAAUAGCCCAAGGUCGAGGAUUCGACUCGUGGACGCAGCGGCCUACGCUAUUUAUUGAUGACUAACCGAUCUAUCCACGUCGUUUAACUUCCCAAAGCAGCACUGGACGUAGGGGAUGCCGCAGUGGAAGAGGUACGGAUUAAUUUCGACCACUUGCGGUUCUUUAACGUGCGCCCAAAUCUAAGCACACGAGCACUUUUGUAUUCCGCCCGCGUCGCCGCUGGAAAUCGAACCCGCGACCUCGCAUGCUCAGCAACAGAACGUCGUAGUCACCAACGUUUAUAGACACUGCGUCGCCCUGCAUGCCGGGUACUUACUAAUGAAAAGUGAAGCAGUUUGCAAAAUAGCCGAUUAAGAGAUGGCGAACGACAACAGACAACGACACUGCGCAGACACAGUGGAGUGAUGCCAAUCAAAGAAUGCGGGGGCAAAUACGCUGUUCCCUGGCUUAAGGAGGAUUUGUAUACCUACGCCAGCCAAUUGCGUUAGCUCACCUUAAUGGCGCCACGGUGGACGUGAGCCUCGUACAACAUCUGCGUCUCCCGGGAACUAUGUUUUGGAAUGUGGAGGCCCGUGCAAGGGAUGGCACACAAGGCCUGGAAGCUCGGAGCCGUGACGCCACGGUAUUUCCAAAGCCCCACGCGUUUCACUGCGAUUCGAUGGGAAUACCGGCAAACAAGCGAUGGCGAUUAUCGCAAUCAUGAAUUAGUUUGGAACGAAUUGCACGCGUUGCAACCAGAAGACGUCGAUUUCAGCUGCUGAGAAUUCGUGUAUGAAGGACCUUCCACGGCAACCUGUGACGGAGCACGGGAGGAUUGUGAUUUUUCGCUCCUCUAUCGAGCGCGAAGUUCUCCGGACAGCGCUGAACCUGCUGGACUCUAGACCAUUUUCCGUAAUGGAGAUCCUUGGACUCUGGCCGUACACGUCGAUGGCACAGAAAGCCACGAAAGCGCUCUUGAAAUACCUCAAGUCCAGAAGUCUUGGGAGCCGUAUGUAGACUCGGUGCGAACCUUCCACUGUGCGCGAAACUGCGUUCUCUCUCUCUCUCUCUUCAUCCCCAUACCCCCUUCCCCCAGUGCAGGCUGGCAAACCGUACGUGCGUCUGGUUAACUUCCCUGCCUUUCCUGUUUUCUCUCUCUCUCGACCUUUACUGGCAACACAAGACCUUUUAAUUAAAAAUGUCUCCCCUCCUCCUCGAUGAGAGAGAACAAAAAAAAAAAGGAAAGGAAGAAAGGUCAGCGAGUCCUUACGGACGUCGCAGCACCACAUGUCCGAUGGCCCGAUGGGCGUCGUUUGUUGUGCUUCCCGAAUACCGCGCGUACCUUGCCUUAUAUAGCACGGUAAUCGUUCUUCAGUUAUAACUUGUCACUGGUACAGCGCGAUUCGACCUAUUAGCAUUCGUUUGACAGCUGCGAUGAGAGUAAAAAAAAAAAAAAAAACAGGAAAAAAAGAAAGCGCGUCAGAGUAAACUUUCUUUUUUUCUUCCCAGCAUGCGACGAUUCAGCAACAGAAUAACGCGUUGAAAACCACCCUUACUUGACGCACGAAAUCCGGCGACCUCUUCGGCGCGCUUCUGUGCCCUCCUGCGACUGCAAAUACACGCGUCGACGGGCACGACGCCUCAAAUACAAAGCCUGUACCGCGCUGUCAAGACAGGUGUGAUUGAUUUCUGUGUGCCAUGUUUCAAAAGUAAAAACUAAUAUAAAGAAAGAAGAAACGCUGAAAAGUCAUUUGACACGUGCGUAGUAUUUCAUUAAAGAAGAAAGAGAGAAAAAAGAACGCAUACAAACGCGCGUGCCUGUGACCUGCGUGAAUAAAACGGUUCAUUACUAC